AAUUCUGCAAUAGGCGAAAGCUUGACAGAGUUACUCUGAGUGAUGCCCGUUAAGGGCAUCUUUUGGCACCUCUAAAAAUGGUGCAGAAUAAGGGGUGGGCAAGUCUGGUGUCAGCCGCCGCGGUAAUACCAGCACCCCGAGUGGUCGGGACGAUUAUUGGGCCUAAAGCAUCCGUAGCUUGUCCUGCAAGUCCUCCGUUAAAUCCACCUGCUCAACAGAUGGGCUGCGGGGGAUACUACAGGGCUAGGAGGCGGGAGAGGCAAACGGUACUCAGUGGGUAGGGGUAAAAUCCUCUGAUCCACUGAAGACCACCAGUGGCGAAGGCGGUUUGCCAGAACGCGCUCGACGGUGAGGGAUGAAAGCUGGGGGAGCAAACCGGAUUAGAUACCCGGGUAGUCCCAGCUGUAUACGAUGCAGACUCGGUGAUGGGUUGGCUUCGCGCCAACCCAGUGCCGCAGGGGAGCCGUUAAGUCUGCCGCCUGGGGAGUACGGUCGCAAGACUGAAACUUAA
rnacentral:rRNA from 1 species